rnacentral:rRNA from 1 species
CGGCUCAGUAACACGUGGAUAACCUGCCCUAAGGAAGGGGAUAACCCCGGGAAACUGGGGAUAAUACCCUAUAGGUUACAGAUGCUGGAAUGCUCUGUAACCGAAAGUUCCGGCGCCUUAGGAUGGAUCUGCGGCCGAUUAGGUUGUUGUCGGGGUAACGGCCCAACAAGCCAGUAAUCGGUACGGGUUGUGGGAGCAAGAGCCCGGAGUUGGAUUCUGAGACACGAAUCCAGGCCCUACGGGGCGCAGCAGGCGCGAAAACUUUACAAUGCGGGCAACCGUGAUAAGGGAACCUCGAGUGCCUGUAUAUGCAGGCUGUCUGGGUGUCUAAAACACACCUAAAGAAAGGGCCGGGCAAGACCGGUGCCAGCCGCCGCGGUAAUACCGGCGGCUCGAGUGGUGGCCACUUUUAUUGGGCUUAAAGCGUUCGUAGCUGGGUUAUUAAGUCCCUUGGGAAAUCCGACGGCUUAACCGUCGGGCGUCUAAGGGAUACUGGCAAUCUUGGAACCGGGAGAGGUGAGGGGUACUUCGGGGGUAGGAGUGAAAUCCUGUAAUCCUCGAGGGACCACCUGUGGCGAAGGCGCCUCACCAGAACGGCUUCGACAGUGA